rnacentral:rRNA from 1 species
CACACUGUAAACAAUGUGCACCAGGUGCUGGGGCGGAUGCCUCAGUGCCGGAGCUAACGCGGUAAGUGCACCGCCUGGGGAGUAUGCUCGCAAGGGUGAAACUCAAAGGAAUUGACGGGGGCCCGCACAAGCGGUGGAGCAUGUGGUUUAAUUCGAUGGUACGCGAGGAACCUUACCUGGGUUUGACAUACAGGGGAAUGUGGCAGCGAUGUCACAGCGCAGCAAUGCGUCCCUGUACAGGUGC